UUUUACGACUUUUGUAAAGUUCAUCACACGUUGAAUCGCCCGCCUAACUACUCCACCCCGCACCCGUGCCCACGCCACGCCCCUCUCAGUCUUCGUUAUUGAAAAAAACUUGCUCAACAAAUAACUAAGCGGCGAUCUUUUUAUGUGAUACGAAAACAAGCGGCAACAUUUUUAGUCACAAAUUUGUGUUUGAAAGUUUUGGUUUUUGUUUUUUUGGUGUACAAAUUUGUUGUUAACAUUGUGUUAACAGCAACAUUUUAUAUCUACUCUCGAGAGACUCGCAACAGCUUUUUGGGCACAAGUAUCAAAUCGAUGACUAUAUCUGUUCAUUCGAAGGACUUGGUGAUUUAACAAUGGACUCCUUAGCGAUGUUCAUAUUCCUCUGGGCCGUUCUGGCCCUCUUCUCCGUUUGGCUGUGCAAGCUGCUCUACAACAAGUAUCUCAUCAACAAGGGCGCCACAACCACAGCCAGUAGCAGCAACAGUCGCCAGACUAUUGUUGCACCCGGCGGUGGCGCCUCCUCGGCGAUCAGUGCCGCCAAGUCAGAGAAACGUUCUUCCGAGCCACGCGAACUGAUGGCCACCAAGAGCAAAAUCGAUGAUCUGUCCAAGCCACUAACAGGUAGUAGUUCAGCGGGACGCGGACGUUCCACAGCAUCGCCCAUGGGUGGAGGAGGAGGUGGUGCUGCUGCUGGCGGACCACGUCGUCGAGUGGUCCGUCAGAGUUCGACUGGACCGGAGAAUCGCAAGAAACGCUACGUACCACCACCCUCAAAUGUGGUCGGGCCAGAAACGAGCUCCGUUACGUGGACGAGUCAAGUGUUUCGCUGGCUGUACAGCGAUCUGGUUAUUGUCAACGAGCUACUCAUGUCCUGGGUGAUAGCCAUUAACGAUACCCUGCGCAUAUCCGCCGAGGAGCAUGGUGUGGCUGUGGAAGUGGUCCGAGUUCUGCCCGACAGCCCGGCACCGGGCCUCAACAACAUCUUCUGCAACUGCGAGGAGCACAAUCCCGCCGAAAUGCUUAUCACGUUUGAUUGUGACGCAAUGCCCGUGCUUCAGGUGAAGACGUUUCGCCAGAAGUGGGGCAAGGUGGAGACCUCGCAUUAUAAGGUCACCGUUUCGCGAUUCCGUGCACGCAUGUCCAUACCCAUCAACUACAAUACGCUCAAGGGUGAGAUGCGUGUCGAUGGCUAUCCGGACGUGCGCAUUGCCAUGAACAGCGUGGGCGCUAUCAAGGCAAUGGAUCAGGAUGAGCAGCAGCUGCAGACAGUCAUCAGUGAUAUACUGACGACGGCACUCCGUGAAACCACCUAUCCGGUGGAUUUCUCCAUUUACUCUACCUGCCCCCGUGCAGAGGUGGAGCCACUGGAUUUGCCUGUAAUAUAUCCCGUCCAUUAUGAAUCGCUGGCGUACAACAUGGAUCACAGCCUGGGGUCGGGAAUUCUGCGUGAUGCCCAACACAUGGUCUCCGGUCGUCGGCUGCUGGUGAAGAUCGUCAAGGGCGAUGGAUUGCGCGAUGCUCACGACCCGUAUGUGGUCAUCGAGAUGGAUGAGCCGGCGCAGAAGAAUCAAACGGGCACCCAACGCGGUAGCAAACCCUACUGGGACGAGCACUUCCUCUUCGAACUCUCCCCACAAUCUGCUGAGAUACUCUUUGAGGUCUACGACCGUUCAGUGAUUGCAUCCGAUCCGCCCAAGUUCCUUGGCCUCGGCCUCGUCGGCAUCGAUGAGCUCGCCGUGGGUCCCGCCUCUACGCAGCUGUUGCAGUUGCAACCGCGUCCUUACGAGACCCAUCCGGUUGCGGGCGCCAUUACCGUUGAUUUUGUGUUCAUCGAGGGUGCCGAGAUACCGGCCGGUUCUCGGCCGAAUCGCCUGAAGGAGGCGCUGCGUCUCAGCACACCCGCCAUCAAUGAGCACAUACGCAACGGUGCCGACCUGGCCGAUGCGGCUGUGCGUGCCCUUCAGGACGGGGCACUCUCGGGUGGCGCUUCCAACGGUGGACAGACACAGAAGAGCACCCUCAUCAUCCACAGUGUGCAGCGGAACUCGAGCAAUCCAAAUGCAUUCAAGGUUGAGUUGAACAAAGAUGGUCACAUCGAAGUCAUCGAAUCUCCCACAGAGCUCGAUCAGGCCGUUGCCCAGGCUUUCGAGCGUGCCGCCAACGAGGCAGCCAGCGCCCAAAUCGAGCCACGGGCCGCCAGCCCGGCCGACAGCCCGACGGGUGGCACAACAACAGGUAACGAGGAGAGCACAGCCGAGUUUGGACAGCCGAAUGCUGCCUCCUCGCCGAAUGGCAGUGGCUACCACAACGACUACAGUUUGAAUGGCAGCAUUCAACUUACCGGCCACAACUCAAACAGUUUACAACGGAAUGGCGCCAUGCAACAGCAGCAACAACAGCAGCUGUUGCAGCAAUCUGGCCUGGAGCUGGAUGAUCGUGGUCGCAGUAAAAAACGUAAUUUCUUUGGCACUCUCAAGAAGCGGCUCAGCCGUUCCAAGACACGAACCCUAUCGGCAGAUCAGCCCAAUAACAACCAUAAAUCACAAUCAGUCACCAAUCCAACAACAACAACAGGCACAGGACUCACAAGAACAGCCCAAGGAACCCUCAAUGGUGAAUCUUCCCGUUCAUUAUCUGUCGAUCGUGCAACUCUGUCUAAAAGCAAUUCACUUGGACCCCGUAUGGGCAUCGGCUCGUCCAUCACCGAUCACCACUCACGACGCUCUUCAAUUUCAGAAUCCUCAGCCAUCUCAGGCUUCUCCUCGGCCAGCAACAAAACCUAUGUCCAUGAGGCAUCCACACUGGUGCUGGAGACCAUCGAGAAUGGCGUUAAGCGGCAUUUUAUUGUGCCGCUGGCGAUUGCACAGAGGCCACGCUGGCGCCGCAAGGGCACUAAGUUGCACAUUUACAAUGAUCACACGUUUAUCGCCAAGCAUUUGAGCGGCAGCGGAUUGCAAUGCUCGAUCUGCAUGAAGUCCAUACCACGGAGGCCGGGCAAACAGGGCUAUGAGUGCCGCGACUGCCAGCUGAUCUGCCACAAGCAAUGCCACAUUAGGGCGCCGCAGUCAUGCCCCAAUCCCACUGUACUCUCCAUGGAACUAACAUCAUUUCCGGUACUCUCAGAGCGAAAUUUGAACAUAGUUAACUGAAGCAAAAAAAAAAAAAAAUUUAUAAAUAUAUAUAUUUACAACUAAAUAUUGAAUACAAUACAAUAUUCUUGAAUACUAUUCUACUCUGCUGUUAAAUACUGUUUACUACAUGCAAUUAUUUCUGUGCUACGUUCCUUGCCUCCUUUUCUUUUUGUUAUUGUAACAUUUUGCAAAAAUUGGCGUCAGAAUUACAAAAAUUGUUUGGCAUUCAUUUUCGAUAUUAAUUUCGGUCUUUGGUAUUUGAAAUGCUUUUUGCCAACUACAAAUAUCUGCCUAUAUUAACACACACCCACACACACACACAAAUAUAAACAUAAAAACCUACAUGAUUUUUAACAUUUAUUGAUGUUUUUCUAUUUCACACAACUCAUACAAAAAUCAAACUUUAACCGGUUUGCCAUUCUCAAAACCCGCAAAAAUAUGUAUUCAAAACAUGGACACAGGAUGCCUAGUGAUCAGUAAAAAAAAAUUUUAAGCAAGUUGAGCAAAGGUAACAACAAAAGUUUAAGUGAAUUUAGUUUAAGCCAAGAUGUAAUUUUGACGCCAAGUACAAAGUGUGCAAAGAAAACAAGAAUAUUCAGAAAAUAGAUUUUUAGGUUGAAAUUCUGAUGAAAGCUUAAUUUGACUUGAAUAUUGUUUGUCGAAUAUAGGAAAAUGGAACGAAACUUAACUCAGUUGUGGCGGAUCGUAGCAUUAGGAAAUUGUAAAAAUCUACAAUCUACAUUAAUUAAUACGAAUCGAAAUAAUUAUUUUACAUAAUUUGCAUUAUUAACACUAAAAAUCGACAAGAAAUGAAGUCGGCAAGAAAAUGAAAAUCGUAAACUCACAAAAACCGAAAUCUGUCUAUGCUAUCUAUAAUUAUGUUAUUUAUUUUAUACUCAAGUGCAAUAUUUUGUUUUUUUUUAAAUGAAAUUGUAAUGGAUCAACAAACAAAAAGAAAUCUUUUCUACCAUCACGAAUAAUGUACAAAAGAUAACAAACAUUUUUAAAUAAAACUUACUGGUGAAGUAA